CCGAACACAAAACGUAUUAAUGCAUAUUCGGCUAAAAAGUUGCCACCAAGUUGUCAUCGGCUAAGUAUUUUAUUCGAAAAAAAUUGAACAGUUGACGAAAUUGGUAUUCAAUUGAAUAAGAUGUUCAAGUUUUUGAUAAUUACUAUAAUGGCAGUUUGCGCACUGAGCUGCUUGCUUUUGGAGCAAAUUAGCGCCGCUCCGAGUCAGAAACCGCAUUCACGACCUCGUAGUUCGUAACGCACGUAAAUAUCAAAAAGAGGAUAACGAAAUUUCGGCAAUAUCACUCCUGAUUCACACCUAAUACAUUUUUACCAUCCAUGCAGUUAAAACGUUGAGUUUCGGGUAGCAACAAGAAAUCAAACUCUGAAGAUGGACACACGCACGAAUAAAAAUCAUUAAAAUCUAUCUCAGUACCAAUAAAUACAUAGUGUUAAGUGUAGAAUAAUUCAAAUAAAUGAUUUUCCAUUC